rnacentral:tRNA from 1 species
UACCCGGUGGUGUAAUGGUAGCACAACAGGUUUUGGUCCUGUCAGUCGGGGUUCGAGUCCCUGCCGGGUAA